GGAGGUAGUCAGUAGCAGGUGAUGAGUGUUGAGGAGGUAGUCAGUAGCAGGUGAUGAGUGUUGAGGAGGUAGUCAGUAGCAGGUGAUGAGUGUUGAGGAGGUAGUCAGUAGCAGGUGAUGAGUGUUGAGGAGGUAGUCAGUAGCAGGUGAUGAGUGUUGAGGAGGUAGUCAGUAGCAGGUGAUGAGUGUUGAGGAGGUAGUCAGCAGCAGGUGAUGAGUGUUGAGGAGGUAGUCAGUAGCAGGUGAUGAGUGUUGAGGAGGUAGUCAGUAGCAGGUGAUGAGUGUUGAGGAGGUAGUCAGUAGCAGGUGAUGAGUGUUGAGGAGGUAG